AUUGAACGCUGGCGGCAGGCUUAACACAUGCAAGUCGAGCGAGUGGCGGACGGGUGAGUAAUGUUUGGGAAACUGGCUGAUGGAGGGGGAUAACUACUGGAAACGGUAGCUAAUACCGCAUACCAUCGGAUGUGCCCAGAUGGGAUUAGCUAGUUGGUGGGGUAAAGGCUCACCAAGGCGACGAUCCCUAGCUGGUCUGAGAGGAUGACCAGCCACACUGGGACUGAGACACGGCCCAGACUCCUACGGGAGGCAGCAGUGGGGAAUAUUGCACAAUGGGCGCAAGCCUGAUGCAGCCAUGCCGCGUGUGUGAAGAAGGCCUUCGGGUUGUAAAGCACUUUCAGCGGGGAGGCGUUACUCGCAGAAGAAGCACCGGCUAACUCCGUGCCAGCAGCCGCGGUAAUUC
rnacentral:rRNA from 1 species